rnacentral:rRNA from 1 species
GACGAACGCUGGCGGCGUGCCUAAUACAUGCAAGUCGAACGCAGUGGGGACGGGUGAGUAACACGUGGGUAACCUACCAUCAGAGGGUAUAACACUUGGACACAGGUGCUAAACCGAUACGGAUGGAUGGCCCCGCCGUGCAUUAGCUAGUUGGUGAGGUAACGGCUCACCAAGGCCACGAUGCAUAGCCGACCUGAGAGGGUUAUCACCCCCCCUGGGACUGAGACACGGCCCAGGCUCCUCCCAUAAUCACCAUUACAAAAUCUUCAGCAAUGAACGAAAGUCUGACCGAGCAACGCCGCGUGAGUGAAGAAUUUUUUCGGAUCAUAAUACUCUGUUGUUAGAGAAGCGGUAUCUAACCAGAAAGCCACGGCUAACUACGUGCCAGCAGCCGCGGUAAUAC